UGGAAAAAAUAUCCUUGGGUGAGGAUUUUUUUUAAAAAAAGAAGAGAGUUCAAAUCAUUCUUGCAGACUUCAAUUCACUCUUGGACAUAACUAAAUAAAGCCUAUUAUCUUCCCUCUUGCUCCAUCCCUUCUCUAUCUCUUGGCUAUUCUUUAUUCUGUCCCUUAACUUGGAGCAUCACAGCAUUUCCCCCAUUCUUUGUAAACCUCCUAUUUGAACUUGCCUCAUCCUUGCUUUACCAGGUUGUGUUGUACUUUCCUACUCUAGUACUUUUGCUUGUGUUUCACCCACUGUUGUCCUACCCAUCCUUGAAGAUCUAAUUUUUACUUUUAUCAUACAGACUUCUCUGACUGUGUAGUACUCUAAUCUCUUUGCUGUACUCUAAUAACCCUUAAUUUACAUUCCCAAGUUAUACUGCAUUUGCACCACCACCCCCAGUCCUGACCUAGGCAGACAUCACUAAUUGAUUACAGCCCCCUUUGCCACAGAGCUUUGUUACGGGGCAGAAUCCCCAAAACUAUGCUCCAGACAACCACUGUUAAUCAAAGGGAAUGUGCAUGUAAGAUGAAAAGUAUUGUGCAUUGCUGUGAAAAUCUAUUCAUUUAGCAUUCAAUUAGAAACUCAAUUUAAAUUGAACAAGUAUUGAUGUUCCUGGUAAGAGAUGCAGAGUUGAGGUCUGUGUUUUGUCUUAGUCUGCCAGAUGCAAUAUGUGCACA